UGGGGGUGCAAGUCAUUGGCCAUCUGAAACUUCAUCUUUCAACUCUGUGACCCUCUAAAUUCAUUCUGUCCCAAAACAAGUUGUUAGCCAGAGUGCCUUGAAUCUUAAGCAUAGCUUUAGAACAUGUGACCUGCGCGUGUUUUGGUCCAUUGAUAUUUAAUUUAGGCUUAGUUGAAGUACUUGUUUAAAAUAUCCAAUUACUGUGCAUGAUUUGAGCUCCAAAAUGUGAACUUCACAGGACCUUCUUUGAAAAACAGAAUCAGAAUUGGAAGCAAAUGAAAAAUGUCUCCUUGUAACCCAUCUCCCUCAUUUUGAAUUUCCUCAUGAUGUUCAUUUGUGUUUGCUGAAAUCCUGUUCUAAGUGCUUGUUAUCCACAUUCAUGAGUGUGUCUUAUUUCCCAAGCAAAUGAUUACAGGAACUAAACCCCCAAGUAGGUUGAAAUAUCUUACUGUCCAACUUUUAGAAUUAAAUGAUUAAGCUGAUGAGGGUUAUAAGUGGUUUCCUUUGGAUAUAAAUUAAAACCCAGUUUUUGUAUAAUUAAUAUAUUCAUACAUGGAAAUCUUGAUUAAAUGACCCUUAAGGUACCUUUUACUUACUGUUACACAUAAUCUGACUUUUCGUGUACAU
rnacentral:lncRNA from 1 species